rnacentral:rRNA from 1 species
AGGUAGAGAAUACUAAGGCGAAGAGAUAAUACUUGUAAAGGACUCGGCAAACUGUCUUCAUAAGUUAGACGAUAUGAAGAACCACUGGAUGCUAUUACUCCUUAUUUUUUAUAUAAGGUUAGCCUUAAUAAAUAGAGAUUUCAUAAGUUUAGCGCCUAUGGUGUUAAGUUUAUAUAAGGAAGUGUAAACCUCCCCUUUAGCUGUAGGGAAACUUAUAACUAUAGGCUAGGUUGCUUUGUGUAUUACUAUAUUGGUAAUCCAGGGCCUUAAUAGUAUUUAAGUGGUGGCACAGAAUCGGAGGCCCCGACUGUUUACCUAAAACACAGCUUUCUGCGACGAAUAAUAUCUUUGUAUAGAAAGCGAAUUUUGCCCAAUGCCAUUAAUAUAAGGUCGAUAAGCGCUUAAGCGUAAUUAUUGGCUGAAGUUCUGGUCAAUGGCGGUCUUAUCUAUGAGGAUCCUAAGGUAGCAAAAUUAAUUGUCCAUUAAAUGUGGUCCUGACUGAAUAAAGUAACGAUGGUCUCGCUGUCUCUACAAGUAUCUCAGUGAAAUUGAAUUAGCCGUGCAGAUGCGGUUUAACUUCGGGUAGACGGGAAGACCCU